AAAGUCGUAACAAGGUCUCCGUUGGUGAACCAUCGGAGAGAUUAAUGUCAAGAGGCGUGCCCUUACACCUUUUCAACCCCGAGAACCUUACCACACGUUGCCUCGGCACCUGCCGCUCCCGGGGCCACCGCCCCGGGGCGCGCCGCGGGUGCCGACGGCCAAACCACACGCUAUUUUGUACUGGCGCUCUGAAGUCAUGGAACGAGUAAAUAAAACUUUUAGCAACGGAUCUCUUGGCUCUG
rnacentral:misc_RNA from 1 species